rnacentral:rRNA from 1 species
UACGUAGGAGACGAGCGUUGUCCGGAGUUACUGGGCGUAAAGGGUGCGCAGGUGGCGGCGCGCGUGGGGGGUGAAAUCGCCCGGCUUAACUGGGCGGGGGCCUUCCAGACGGCGUGGCUUGAGCAGCGGAGGGGGACGUGGAAUUCCGGGUGGAGCGGUGAAAUGCGCAGAUAUCAGGAAGAACACCCGUGGCUAAGGCGGCUCUCUAGUACGGUACUGACGCUGAGACGCGAAAGCGUGGGGAGCGAACAGG